rfam:Gossypium hirsutum cultivar TM-1 chromosome 1, whole genome shotgun sequence
UCUUCAGUAGCUCAGUGGUAGAUCAAUCGACUAUUAACUGAUUGAUCAUAGGUUCGAAUCCUACUUGAGGAG